rnacentral:rRNA from 1 species
AGUGAACGCUGGCGGCAGGCCUAACACAUGCAAGUCGAACGGAAAGACAGGAAGAGCGCGCUCUUAAGGGUGGCGAGGGGCGGACGGGUGAGGAGUAGAUAGGAAACUACUAAUUCGGGGGGGAUAACGGAGGGCAAGUGACGCUACUACAGAAUACGUCCUACGGGAGAGAGCAGGAGAGCUAGGGAGCUUGCGCGAUUGAUUGAGACGGUGCCGGAUUAGCUAGUUGGGGGGGUAACGGACCACCAAGGCGACGAUACGUUGCGGACCUGAGAGGAUGAUCAGCCACACUGGAACUGAGACACGGUCCAGACUCCUACGGGAGGCAGCAGUGGGGAAUCUUGCGCAAUGGGCGCAAGCCUGACCCAGCCAUACCGCGUGAGUGAUGAAGGUCUUCGGGUCGUAAAGCCCUUUUGUUAGGGAAGAAAAGCAGCGUGUUUAUCCCCCCCCGUUCUGACGGUACCCAAUCAGAAAGCCCCGGCUAACUUCGUG